rnacentral:misc_RNA from 1 species
GUAGGUGAACCUGCGGAGGGAUCAUUACUGAGUUUUUAACUCUCCAAACCAUGUGAACUUACCACUGUUGCCUCGGUGGUCGGUGCUGGAAACAGUGCUGCCACCGGUGGACUACUAAACUCUUGUUAAUUUUUGUCAAAUCUGAAUCAAACUAAGAAAUAAGUUAAAACUUUCAACAACGGAUCUCUUGGUUCUG